rnacentral:tRNA from 2 species
GCCGCCUUAGCUCAAUUGGCAGAGCAGCCGCCUUGUAAGCGGCAGGUUGCCGGUUCGAUUCCGGCAGGCGGCU